GUCGCUAAGUGGGUAUGUGGGUCUUAAAUGGAUUGCACUAAAGGUCCUCAGAGCCCCAUGCACAUUAGUUAUCCAACUAUAAUUUUGGCCUAAGGCCUAUAUAUGUUAGCUCAUCCCCUUUCACAAAUUCCCCAAGUCCCGUGCAUAUUCAAUUUAUUUCUAUCGUGCUUAUUUUUCCAAUGAUAGAUAAUUCAUGAAAGAGGAGACAAAUCAUGUCAUGACGAGGAUAAGAUGCUGGAGACAGGGUAAUCAUGAGUCUAUAUCAAGCUUUUGUACUUGUUUGAGAACUGACGAAUGGGAUGGCCAUAAUGCAAGAGGGGAAAGUAGGGUAAGAAAGGAGUGAUGGUAAAGGUUCAGAUUCAGUCAGGUCAUCAUACAUGACCAUAAUGCAAGAGGGGAUUCAGAUUCAGUCAGGUCAUCAUAGCAUUUUGAUCUUGGAAAGUUAACGUACAAGAAAUUCCUAAGUUAUACCUAAUCAUGUAUCUGAUUGGAAACACUUUCUGGGGAAACAAAGAAGUCUUGUUUAGUUAAUAAAUGUAGCGUACCGUUGACAGAAGUUACUUUACAAUUUAUAAAGAUGUACUUAUACCAUCUAGUAUGCCCAUAAAGAAGUUCAAAUAUUGAAAAGAGAGACUACGCUAAUAUGGAUU
rnacentral:lncRNA from 1 species